rnacentral:rRNA from 1 species
UUAGGAAUCUUCCCCAAUGGGCGCAAGCCUGAGGGAGCGACACUGCGUGAAGGACGAAGGUUUUCGGAUCGUAAACUUCUGAACGAGGGACGAAAGAUGACGGUACCUCGCUAAAAGCACCGGCUAACUCCGUGCCAGCAGCCGCGGUAAUACGGAGGGAGCUAGCGUUGUUCGGAAUUACUGGGCGUAAAGCGCGCGUAGGCGGCUAUUCAAGUCAGGGGUGAAAUCCCGGGGCUCAACCCCGGAACUGCCCUUGAAACUAGGUAGCUAGAAUACUGGAGAGGUGAGUGGAAUUCCGAGUGUAGAGGUGAAAUUCGUAGAUAUUCGGAAGAACACCAGUGGCGAAGGCGACUCACUGGACAGUUAUUGACGCUGAGGUGCGAAAGCGUGGGGAGCAAACAGGAUUAGAUACCCCCGUAGUCC